CCAGCUUGCUGGAUGCUGACGAGCGGCGGACGGGUGAGUAAUGCAUAGGAAUCUGCCCGAUAGUGGGGGAUAACCUGGGGAAACCCAGGCUAAUACCGCAUACGUCCUACGGGAGAAAGGGGGCUCCGGCUCCCGCUAUGGGAUGAGCCUAUGUCGGAUUAGCUAGUUGGUGAGGUAACGGCUCACCAAGGCCACGAUCCGUAGCUGGUCUGAGAGGAUGAUCAGCCACAUCGGGACUGAGACACGGCCCGAACUCCUACGGGAGGCAGCAGUGGGGAAUAUUGGACAAUGGGGGNAACCCUGAUCCAGCCAUGCCGCGUGUGUGAAGAAGGCCCUCGGGUUGUAAAGCACUUUCAGCGAGGAAGAACGCCUAGCGGUUAAUACCCGCUAGGAAAGACAUCACUCGCAGAAGAAGCACCGGCUAACUCCGUGCCAGCAGCCGCGGUAAUACGGAGGGUGCAAGCGUUAAUCGGAAUUACUGGGCGUAAAGCGCGCGUAGGUGGCUUGAUAAGCCGGUUGUGAAAGCCCCGGGCUCAACCUGGGAACGGCAUCCGGAACUGUCAAGCUAGAGUGCAGGAGAGGAAGGUAGAAUUCCCGGUGUAGCGGUGAAAUGCGUAGAGAUCGGGAGGAAUACCAGUGGCGAAGGCGGCCUUCUGGACUGACACUGACACUGAGGUGCGAAAGCGUGGGUAGCAAACAGGAUUAGAUACCCUGGUAGUCCACGCCGUAAACGAUGUCGACCAGCCGUUGGGUGCCUAGCGCACUUUGUGGCGAAGUUAACGCGAUAAGUCGACCGCCUGGGGAGUACGGCCGCAAGG
rnacentral:rRNA from 1 species